ensembl:lncRNA
GUAAAAGUGCCAAGAAGGGUUCCUUACUUUAAUCUACGGUCUUGUCUCCUAUGGGACCCUGUGGAGUUUCACUGCAUCUGCAUGUCUCAAUUUUCCCAUCUGUAAAGUGGAGAUGACAACACUGAUCUCUUUAAUUAUUUUAUAUGCAAUAUCCACUAAUUCAUUAAGGUGUGUACAGGCUGCUGAAACUUACAUAUGGGUGUGAAAGUAAGGAGAUGCUACUGGGCUAUUUCCUUGAAGCUUUACUCUGCAGGGACUUAUGCGAGUCCAUGAGAGCUGCUGUAUUCAGGACUUUGCAGAUGGUUGCAUGAAAGCAAAUCACCAGCAUGACAGUAGUACGUGCUAGGGUUUCCUCUUAAGCAAUUUCCCCAGACAAUGUGGAGGAAGAGACAAGAAGAAAAGUGGUAAUGAACGGAGUCUGGAGCUGUUCCCAUCUCUGUAAGCUCAUGUGUCUACACAAGAGGCAGCAGAAUACAGAGGCAGCCUGGGUGGAGAGAUGCUCCCUGCUUUCCUACUGCACUGAACACGGGAGAAAAGCCUCAAACAGAAGUGAGUAGGGGAUGAUGGGAAACUCCUGGCUAUUCCACCCCCAAACUCCUGUCAAGAUUCAGUCUUGGGAACAGAGGACUCCAUUCUGCAGCAUCUGAGGAGGUGCAUUCCUGUCCCCCUCAGCAGGACUUGUGCUGCUGUGCCUAGCCAUCUGUUGGAGCUGUACCACUCUUCCCCAGGAUACUCAUCCCUGAAGGCUGCCCUGUGGAGAAUUAGCUAGGAAAUAGGAGAAGCUACCCAUCACAGGAAAAAAAAUCCUCAGAAAGUGGUGGGAAAACUGGAGGAUAAUAGCAGCUUCUAUUACCAAGUACAAUGGAAGUUCCUGUACAAAUACUCUACGGCAAUGGGAAUGGGAAGAAGGAAAGAGAACAGUAAAAGUGAAUUCUAACCUCUGAUGCCAGGAAAUGACUCAAUAAAUCAACAGUACUUUGAUCUACAGAAUUAUGGGAUUUCUCUUCACGAUAAGGAAAAAAUCCAGACAGACCUCUUCAGUGUCUAUAAAAGUCUGUAAAUGACCACAGUCUGCAGUUGGAAAAGCCUGAUGACUGGCAAGAGACCCAGUGAGGACUGAAUAAUCAAGCUGUGCUAUUAAAAGGUUGUAUCUUCAUAAAGACCUGCAUUUAUGAAGAUUCAGCGUGCCUGCAAUACUUUGGAUGAAGAAGGGUGGGUUGACAUGCCUGAUGAGACUGGAGUGGAUUCAGAAAGGCAGAGCUAUAUCCUCAAAAAUUCACAGUUCCAGGCACCUGUCUGGAAGAGAAGAACUACAUUCCCCAGAAGACUGUUUGCUGUUCUGCUAUCAUUCCUGCUCAGGGGGAACACAUAUAAGGCCUUGUGGCAGUAAUGGUAGCUGAGGUGAGGACCUGCCCCUCUCUAUGUCAAUGGAUGCUCUUUGUGAUUCUUCAUCCCAGCGAUUUGACAUCCUGUGAGUUACAUCCCAGUGAGGGAUGGAAAUUAAGUGGAAGCAACAAACACAGGAGUUCAUAUGGAUGCUAACAUUCCUUCUUUUACCAUUGUUCUAAUCCACAGACUCUAAAACAAAACACAAUUAUGCAGUAUCUGUUUGGCAAGCAAAUUCUAUUUCCUUAUGACCAGAAUAAGUACUGGCUUACCUCUCUGUUGUCUACUUGGUAAUUACAACCUGCCUUCUCCAGGUCAACCUGUUGGGGGUGAAAUUCUAAAAGUUUUCUUCCUUCUUCAGCCUCAAACUUUUUUUAAAAAAAAUUUUCCUCCCCUGCAGUCAAAAAGACCCGUGUGUACACUGUGGGAGAAGUGCUUACAGGCAAAACUUGUCUUCACUUGGAAAAGUCUUUACCAACCAUUUUUAACAUUUAAAAAUACUUUUUUGUGUUCUUUACUAUGUUAGUCCUCAUAACUCCCUGUAAAAAAUAAUUAUAGAAAAAAAUAAAAAAAAUUGAAAUAUCUACAUUCUCAACAAAAAUUGAUAUCUUUUGAUUUCUCAUGAUGAUGUAUUUUGCUAGAAUACUUCUGAAGGACUUGGUAAUGCAUCCAUAUUAUCCACAUUGUCUCACUGUUUCCUUAUGACAUGUCAGCUUUAUGUUUUCACUCAUUCUUUCAUAUUGUACUAGGCCCAUAAAUUUUCUGAAGCAUGAAUUGUCUUUCCGUUCUGUGUCUGUAAAAUGCGUAACCAUAGGUUUGUGGGCAACAAAUGUUGUACAGAUAUGAUAAUAGUGAUGGGAGCAGCAAAAAACAAAAAAACAACAAAAAAAACGAUCUUAGAUGUGGUGAUUUUGGAGCUGGUUCUAGGUCAUGCUGCUAAUUAUGCUGCUGACAGAUAGGUAAAGAAUAAGAGUUGCUAACCACACGUAUAAACAGGAACAGCACUUUUGCAGCUGGAAUCUAUACACUGGAUGUUUCUGUAGCAAGUCAGAAUCUGAUGAGGGUAUUUUUGUCUAUGAGGAAAGAGUGGUGAGAUUCCUCAGCAAGUGGUAAUAUUGGUGCUGAAGUGAUAGACUUUUGAUUGGCAGUGAAGAUGUCAAGAAAUUUUCCAUUUCUAGGUGCUUUCAUGAUGUACAGCUAAAUGGAACUGCAUAUGAAGCUAUGAUCAUUAAACACAUAAUAGACACAUUAUCUUGCUAGGUCUUGCUAGAAAAACAGCAGGAUGAUGAACAAUGUAUUGAAUUUCAUUAGAAUAAAAAUUGUUUAGGGGCCACCAUACCAUAUAGCAUUCCUUCAGUGAUAUGACUGCACCUGAUUAAAGUAGUCUUGAUUGCUUGAAUGUGAGAGUAGGGGACUGUUGGAUUAUUGUAGUCUUUUUGCAUGAGAUAAAAAGAGAUUAUUUAUCUUUGAAAUUAUCCAAAAUUCAUUAAUAAUGUACUUUAAAAUAUUAUUCUUAAAAAUGUUGUCAUUUUUAAAAUAUUCUUCAAAUGUUGUCAUUCACAGUGGUAAAUCCAUGUUCUUAGUGUACCCAUUAAAAAUUGUAUUAGCAUUUCAUGUGCAAACAAAAUAAUGUAAACAUUAUUUAAAGACUGUCACCACUAUUAUAAGUAUGUAUAAAGAAGUAAAGAAAGUGUAAUGUUGUCCUGGUUCUAUAAUGCUCAUUUUUUCCCUAACAGUCCCUCAACAUUACUAAAAGUGUGAAGGUUUCUUUUUAAAUAUAAAGAAAGUAUUUUUAGUGAAAUACUGUUACAUGGCUUGGUUAAGCA